rnacentral:snRNA from 10 species
CCUGAUAUGGACAAGAUUAGCAUGUCCUCUGCACAAGAAUGACAUGCAAACUUGUGAAGUGUUCCAUAUUUUU